UUUUUUUAUUCAUGAGAGACAGAGAGGCAGAGACACAGGCAGAGGGAAAAAGCAGCUCCCUGCAGGGAGCCCAAUGCAGGACUCAAUCCAGACCCCCAGGAUCACAACCUGACCCAAAGACAGAUGCUCAACCACUGAGCCACCCAGGUGCCCCAGGUUUAGAGUUUCUAGCUAACAUGUACCAAGAAAGAUGUGUGUCAUGGCUGACAUUGGGCAUGAAGAAUGAGUAGGAUUUGGGCAAGAGGAAACAUAAGAGAGAAGACAUUUCAGGUGGAAAGAGAAUCAGAAGCAAGCCUUGGAAUUAGUACAAAGUAGAGGGUUCACGUGGCUGGUGCAGCCAGGAUGAAAAGGAAAUGCUAAACUAAGGAAGUGAGGCUAGAAAGGGGGGAUGGAGGCAGAGCCUGGAGGAUUGUACGGAUACUAGUUAGAAAUGUGCUCUUCGUAUUAAAGUUGGCAUGAUCUAUGUUGGUUAUAUGUGAAAAUAACUUCAUUUGGUGACUAUCCCACAGGAGCAAACUAAAUGGACCUUCUACUCUUAGGCUACUCUUAAACUUUGAGAAGAGAAGUGCCAAUCUCUGAUCCUAUUGCUCUAAUGGCACUAAAAUUUGGAGCUUGGAGCCUGGAGCUAAAAGAGGAAAGCUAAGGACACAAAGAAUAUGUUUCCAUCUUCUCAAAAAACAUAUGCUGCAGCAAAUUAUCAACUGUUAUAGAUUCAUUUGAUUCCCAAGCUCCUCUUUUAAAAUGCAAACACCCUCAGGAGUUUGGGAUUGGAGGGAUGGUGGGUUAAAUAAUUUCUUGAGUUGUGCUUUAUCUUCUUUGAUGAAUUCUUUUUCUAUAGCGGUCUGUUCCAUUUGCAAGUUCUUAGAUAAUCCAUCAUAUUAACAGAUAAGAAGAAGAACACAGACACCUCCCUAAAAGGAAAUUCAAUCACCAUGUUGCUUAUGUCCGUGGAACCUUCAAUUAUGUAACCUCAACAUAAAUUUGUGUGAUAGGGAUGCUACUCUGAGCACACAGGGGAAAUAGAAGCUGUUCUGAAAGCUUAGGUUAAUCACUGAAAAUCAACUAGGCCACUUUCCUAUCAAGUCUAGCAAAUAAUGAAUUUCAACACUGAAUAUAAAAUUAUCUGACCUCCCCACACCAUUUUGUGGAGAAUAGUACUGUAUGCAUAACAGUGCUUCUCAAACUUUAACACGAAGGCAGAUUACUUGUUGAUCUUGUUAUACUGUAGAUUUUGAUCCGGUAAAUCUGGGUAUGACCCAAGAUUCCAAUAGCUUGCAGAUGCUGGUGCUGCCGGUGUGUGGACCACACUUGAGUCCUGAAGAUAAAGGCAAAGUUUGGGCAUCAUACAGAACUGUCCAAAUUCCAGCUACACAACUUAUGAGUUUUGUAGCCUUGAGGAAAUCACCUAACUUUUUUGAGGCUUCAUCAUCUCAUCUGUAAAAUAGAAAUAUGAAUAUUUAUCUUGUAGAGUUAGAGAGAAAACUAAAUACUAUGUAUUAAAGGUAUUUGGCCAGGGCAUGAUACACAGUAGUGACUCAACACAUGACAAUGUAGUUUUUAGGCUUAGUGGGCAGCAUUACUAUAAAAGGCAAAACUUAACUACUAAUAGCCAGGAUGCCUGGGUGCUUCAGUGGUUGAGUGAUCCCAUGGUCCUGGGAUUGAGUCCCACAUCAGGCUCCCUGCAUGGAGCCUGCUUCUCCCUCUGCCUGUGUCUCUGCCUCUCUUUCUGUCUUUCAUGAAUAAAUAAAUAAAUAAAAUCUUUUUUAAAAAAAACUACUAAUUACCUGCUGUUGACCAGAAGCUCAGUGGAA
rnacentral:lncRNA from 1 species